rnacentral:tRNA from 1 species
GCCUCUGUAGCUCAGUUGGUAGAGCAGGGGACUGAAAAUCCCCGUGUCGAUGGUUCGAUUCCGUCCGGAGGCA